UCAUAAACACGUGCCACUGGCCCCUCUUCCCAGGAAGAUUUCUGGCUUGUGGGAGAUGAUGUAUUCAGAUACAAUCAUGAAACAUUUGCUGAUGCAUCUUUGAUCAUCUGCACAUUUUUUCAUAAGAGUGGUCUGGCUGAAAAAACAAAUAAUUCCAGCAGGUUUAGCUCUCAGACACCCGUGGAAUUAAAUAAAGCUAUUCCACAAAUACUAGUGUGAUACCCUGAGAAUUUGAAGGCAGAUGUUAAAAAUGAAAUACAGAUUGUCCAAGACUUACCAUGUAUUUCCAUUUGCUUUAGAAACCUCCCAUCUGUCGUGUUUGUGGUCAUAUGAGGUGCAGGCUUAUUCUUGUAUUCCUGAAGCAAACAGAAACUUCAGCAAGGAAUUCCUAAGUUGCUAAAAUGUGGCACUUGCUUUUUAAAAACAAGAAGUUGGUAAGACCAAGGGCCAGUAAACUCAGGUGGCUGCUCCUGCAAGAUGUUUCGAAAACACGUUUACCAUGCUGGCAUACUGCACAGAUGCAGCCUCAAUUGCUGACCUGUUUCCUGUGCCGAUCUGUUUGCUGGUGCUGACCUGUUUACUGAUCCUCUGGAAGAGUGGCUGCACACGCUGGGACACUCUUCUCUGAGACAUUCUUGAAAGACACCUGGGAAGUUUCUUGCACACAUGGAGAACUGCAGCCUUGUGUUAUGCCUGCUUGAAGGAGCUCUGCUUUUCUACUGCGCCACAUCCAGGAGCUACGGCUUUAUACCUCUAUUUCCAGCUCCCAAGGUCUGCCAGUCUCCUCCCCUCUGUGGCUUUUGCCACAUCCUUUUAUUUUUUACAGAGACCUGCUAUGGGUGAGACCACUCCCCUUCUCCAGGCUCCACUGCUCCACAGUCUGUCCCUCAUCUGGGUUUUGUACCCACUCGUGGUUCCCUCCCACCACCGUUCACCCUGUAAGGCUCAUGCCACGUUAACUUGCUCUUUAUUUCUCAUUCCUGUUUCCACUUGCCACUUGCUCUUGCUAGAGACACACACGGUCAGCAAAAUAUUUCUUUGCAGUGAUCUACCUAUUGGAAUGCCUUUUUCCAUAUGACAGCU